rnacentral:rRNA from 1 species
AACGAACGCUGGCGGCGUGCUUAACACAUGCAAGUCGCGUGCGCAGUUUCCGUAGCAAUACGGGGAUGGGCGCACGGCGCACGGGUGCGUAACACGUGGGCAAUCUGCCCUCCGAUGGGGAAUACCCCCGCGAAAGCGGGACUAAUUCCGCAUAACAUUCCUUGGAUUAACUUUCGAGGAUUCAAAGCAGCAAUGCGUCGGAGGAGGAGCCCGCGCCCGAUUAGCUAGUUGGUGAGGUAACGGCUCACCAAGGCAAUGAUCGGUAGCUGGUCUGAGAGGAUGGCCAGCCACACUGGAACUGAGACACGGUCCAGACUCCUACGGGAGGCAGCAGUGGGGAAUCUUGCACAAUGGGCGAAAGCCUGAUGCAGCGACGCCGCGUGGGGGAUGAAGCUUUUCGGAGUGUAAACCCCUUUCGACUGGGACGAAUGCCUCGCAAGAGGAGUGACGGUACCAGUAUAAGAAGCCCCGGCUAACUACGUGCCAGCAGCCGCGGUAAGACGUAGGGGGCCAGCGUUGUUCGGAAUUACUGGGUGUAAAGGGUUCGUAGGCGGUGUGGCAAGUCGGGAGUGAAAUCUCUGGGCUCAACCCAGAGACUGCUUCCGAAACUGCUGUGCUUGAGUGUGAGAGAGGCUCGUGGAAUUGCAGGUGUAGCGGUGAAAUGCGUAGAUAUCUGCAGGAA